AUGCUGGUGCCCUCACUCACCGGCCGAGGGAUUCCAGGCAAGGCUGGCAGUGCCCCCCUCCCAGGGCUGCGGCGGGACCGAGGCUCCCCGCGGCCGCCCGGGACCCGGUGCGCGGCAGCUCCCGCCCCCGCCGCCCGGGAAGGGCAGCCUCCGGCAGAGGACGGGGCGUCCGCUGUUGCCAUUUCUGCCGCACCCGGACGGCCUCGGGCUGUCACCCGGGUGUCACCGCCGCGGCCGCUGAGGCCCGCCCCCCCCCCCCCCCCCCCCCCCCCCGCCCCCCCCCCCCNNNNNNNNNNNNNNNNNNNNNNNNCCCCCGCCAGGCUCCCCGCUCCGGGACCCCCGCCCUCACCUUCCCCCGGGGCUCAGCGCUGCUCGCCCAUAGUCCGUAGCCCGGAGCCGCGGCUGCUCGGCGCUCCGUCCCGGGGGGCCGGGAGCCGGGCCGGGGGCGUGGAGCCGCUCACCGCCGCCUCCCAGCGCAGCUGCCCGAGCCGCCGCCGCCACCGCCGCCUCGCUCCAUGGCUGCGGCGCCGCCACCUGACAACGGAAGUGACGCACCGCCCCCUCCUCUCGGGCCAAGCCGCAGCCCCUCCCCUCUCCCCGGGCCCCGCCCCUCGCCCGCGUCCUCAGCCCCACGGCGCGGGGGCGGGAGCCAUCUUGACGAUGGGCGGAAGCCUUCAGGCAAGAGGCCAGAAUCCGAUGGCUGAUUGGUUAAGAGCAGGGUCUGGGCCGAAACAUGUGAAGCGAUUGGAGCCCGAUGUGCUAAAGGGGCGGUACUUACCGCUGAUCUAUGCCUGCGGUGAGGCUGGGCUGGACGCACCAUCCCCGCCCCAACUCCGCAGAACCUCGCGUGCCCUACACUCGCCCUGCCGGGUUGGGAGGAGUCUCCAGUGGUUGGAAGAUCGGCCAGUUGUAGUGUAUUGGUUAGAAAAAUGGCUCUUCCUUGAUCCCCAUUUCUCGGUCUCUGGAGCUCGUGCGGAGAAUGCUGCGGUUAGGUUCAAUAAACGACAGAAUUCCUGUCGCAGCCUUCACAAUUCAUUUCCCUCUAAGACCCCUCGCUUUUGUAGCAACCCCGCUUCAACCUGUAGAGCCCUGGAGUCUUGA
rnacentral:lncRNA from 1 species